GAACGCUGGCGGCAGGCCUAACACAUGCAAGUCGAGCGGAUGAGUGGAGCUUGCUCCAUGAUUCAGCGGCGGACGGGUGAGUAAUGCCUAGGAAUCUGCCUGAUAGUGGGGGACAACGUUUCGAAAGGAACGCUAAUACCGCAUACGUCCUACGGGAGAAAGCAGGGGACCUUCGGGCCUUGCGCUAUCAGAUGAGCCUAGGUCGGAUUAGCUAGUAGGUGAGGUAAUGGCUCACCUAGGCGACGAUCCGUAACUGGGUCUGAGAGGAUGAUCAGUCACACUGGAACUGAGACACGGUCCAGACUCCUACGGGAGGCAGCAGUGGGGAAUAUUGGACAAUGGGCGAAAGCCUGAUCCAGCCAUGCCGCGUGUGUGAAGAAGGUCUUCGGAUUGUAAAGCACUUUAAGUUGGGAGGAAGGGCAGUAAGUUAAUACCUUGCUGUUUUGACGUUACCAACAGAAUAAGCACCGGCUAACUUCGUG
rnacentral:rRNA from 1 species